AUUGUUCCUAUAUAGUAUCAGAUAAAUUUGGAAUGGUACAUAGAGGAUUAGCAUGGCUCCUGCAGAAGGAUGGCUUACAAAUGCCACUAUCUGAACUCUUUUAU